rnacentral:lncRNA from 1 species
AAUUGUUCCUAAGGUCUUUUUCUUCUCUGAACUACAGUAUUCUGCAAAGUCUUAUGAGACCCAAAGUUCUGCCCCAGCUUUGAGGACUGCCUUUGCUAAGUGGCUUGUGAGCCAGGCCCCUGGAAGUCAAGCCAGGCUUGGCUGGGCCAGCUAAUCAAGAGCUGACCAGGCCCCUCUUGGACAAAGGGGGGAAAUCUAGUGGGCUCCUCACUUGCCUCACCCUAGCCUCAACCCUGAACCGUGUACCACCCAGGCCAGAGAACGCCUGCCUCGCUCCAAGUCCUUUCAGAGGGAGUCUGUCCACGGAAGGCGCCCUGUGUUCCAGCGCAUGAACUUGCCCCAGUUGGACCAACGAAGGACCCUUGGCCAUGCAGCCAAUAUGCAGUCUGGCCAGCAGCUGAGGGUGGUCUGGUGUAGGCAGCUCUCCCAUG